rnacentral:rRNA from 1 species
GAUGAACGCUGGCGGCGUGCCCAAUACAUGCCAGUCGAGCGAACAGACGAGGAGCUUGCUCCUCUGACGUUAGCGGCGGACGGGUGAGUAACACGUGGAUAACCUACCUAUAAGACUGGGAUAACUUCGGGAAACCGGAGCUAAUACCGGAUAAUAUAUUGAACCGCAUGGUUCAAUAGUGAAAGACGGUUUUGCUGUCACUUAUAGAUGGAUCCGCGCCGCAUUAGCUAGUUGGUAAGGUAACGGCUUACCAAGGCAACGAUGCGUAGCCGACCUGAGAGGGUGAUCGGCCACACUGGAACUGAGACACGGUCCAGACUCCUACGGGAGGCAGCAGUAGGGAAUCUUCCGCAAUGGGCGAAAGCCUGACGGAGCAACGCCGCGUGAGUGAUGAAGGUCUUCGGAUCGUAAAACUCUGUUAUUAGGGAAGAACAAAUGUGUAAGUAACUAUGCACGUCUUGACGGUACCUAAUCAGAAAGCCACGGCUAACUACGUG